UCUGGACUGUGGCCAUGUUACCCCUCCUCUGGGGAAGUACAGGGGCCUGAAGAGUGCACUGCCAGCACCCAUGGGUGCUCCUGCUGGAGCUUGGACACAGGGUCUUUGCCAGCUGCGAGUACCAGCAUUGCAAGCUCUGUUGUGGGAGGUUACAUUCAUAGCUCGGGAAGCUGCAGAUACCACUGGUAGCUCAGCAGGACCCUCCUGGUGGCCACUCCAACAAGGUGAGCUUGAUGGACUGCUGAUCUCUACCUUGGCCUUCUGCUCCUGCCAUCACCUGAGGAUGCCCAUGUGUGUGUGACCACUUAUGGCCUGCAUCUCCCUGUGUUGACACCUGACCUUCCACAUGUCCUGGCAUCACGUGAGGAUGCUCACAGAUCAGUCUGCUGGUCCAGGAGGAAAGCU